rnacentral:rRNA from 1 species
AAAUCCUCACUUCUGGAAGGGAUGUAUUUAUUAGAUUAAAAACCAAUGCGAAUCUUCGGGUUCGUUUUCUUGGUGAUUCAUGAUAACUUUUCGAAUCGCAUGGCCUCGCGCCGGCGAUAUUUCAUUCAAAUUUCUGCCCUAUCAACUGUCGAUGGUAAGGUAGUGGCUUACCAUGGUUAUAACGGGUGACGGAGAAUUAGGGUUCGAUUCCGGAGAGGGAGCCUGAGAAACGGCUACCACAUCUAAGGAAGGCAGCAGGCUCGAAAAUUACCCAAUCCCGACUCGGGGAGGUAGUGACAAGAAAUAACGAUACGGGGUCUUAAUAGGUCUCGCAAUUGGAAUGAGUACAAUUUAAAUCCUUUAACGAGGAUCAAUUGGAGGGCAAGUCUGGUGCCAGCAGCCGCGGUAAUUCCAGCUCCAAUAGCGUAUAUUAAAGUUGUUGCAGUUAAAAAGCUCGUAGUUGGAUUUCGGAGUGGGCCAGUUGGUCCGCCGCAAGGUGUGUUACUGACUGGUUUGCUCUUCUUCGCAUAGACUGCGUGUGCUCUUUAUUGAGUGUGCGUAGGACAUGCGACGUUUACUUUGAAAAAAUUAGAGUGUUCAAAGCAGGCUAUUGCUUGAAUACAUGAGCAUGGAAUAAUGGAAUAGGACUUUGGUCCCAUUUUGUUGGUUUCUAGGACCGAAGUAAUGAUUAAGAGGGACAAUUGGGGGCAUCCGUAUUUCGUUGUCAGAGGUGAAAUUCUUGGAUUUACGAAAGACGAACAACUGCGAAAGCACUUGCCAAGAGUGUUUUCAUUAAUCAAGAACGAAAGUUAGAGGAUCGAAGACGAUCAGAUACCGUCCUAGUUCUAACCAUAAACGAUGUCGACUAGGGAUCAGCGGGCGUUAUCGUACGACCCCGUUGGCACCUUACGGGAAACCAAAGUUUCUGGAUUCCGGGGGAAGUAUAGUCGCAAGUCCGAAACUUAAAGGAAUUGACGGAAGGGCACCACCAGGAGUGGAGCCUG